CCUACGGGAGGCAGCAGUGGGGAAUAUUGCACAAUGGAGGAAACUCUGAUGCAGCCAUGCCGCGUGUGUGAAGAAGGCCUUCGGGUUGUAAAGCACUUUCAGUUGUGAGGAAAGGUUAGUAGUUAAUACCUGCUAGCUGUGACGUUAACAACAGAAGAAGCACCGGCUAACUCCGUGUCAGCAGCCGCGGUAAUACGGAGGGUGCAAGCGUUAAUCGGAAUUACUGGGCGUAAAGCGCACGCAGGCGGUCUGUUAAGCUAGAUGUGAAAGCCCCGCGCUCAACGUGGGAUGGUCAUUUAGAACUGGCAGACUAGAGUUUUGGAGAGGAGAGUGGAAUUCCAGGUGUAGCGGUGAAAUGCGUAGAUAUCUGGAGGAACAUCAGUGGCGAAGGCGACUCUCUGGUCAAUAACUGACGCUCAUGUGCGAAAGUGUGGGUAGCGAACGGGAUUAGAUACCCCGGUAGUCCACACCGUAAACGCUGUCUACUAACUGUUUGUGGAUUUAAUCCGUGAGUAGUGAAGCUAACGCGAUAAGUAGACCGCCUGGGGAGUACGGCCGCAAGGUUAAAACUCAAAGGAAUUGACGGGG
rnacentral:rRNA from 1 species